rnacentral:tRNA from 1 species
CAGGAAAUAGUUUAUACAAAAUAUUAAUUUUGGAGAUUAAAGAUGGGAUUUUUCUCUUUCCUGA